UGGGGAAUAUUGCACAAUGGGCGAAAGCCUGAUGCAGCAACGCCGCGUGAGUGAUGAAGGUCUUCGGAUUGUAAAGCUCUGUCUUUUGGGACGAUAAUGACGGUACCAAAGGAGGAAGCCACGGCUAACUACGUGCCAGCAGCCGCGGUAAUACGUAGGUGGCGAGCGUUGUCCGGAUUUACUGGGCGUAAAGGGUGCGUAGGCGGAUGUUUAAGUGAGAUGUGAAAUACCCCGGGCUUAACUUGGGUACUGCA
rnacentral:rRNA from 1 species